rnacentral:rRNA from 1 species
GACGGACGCUGGCGGCGUGCUUAACACAUGCAAGUCGAACGGAAAGGCCCCAGCUUGCUGGGGUACACGAGUGGCGAACGGGUGAGUAACACGUGGGUGAUCUGCCCUGCACUCUGGGAUAAGCCUGGGAAACUGGGUCUAAUACCGGAUAGGACCGUGCUUUAGUGUGUGCGGUGGAAAGUUUUUCGGUGCAGGAUGAGCCCGCGGCCUAUCAGCUUGUUGGUGGGGUAAUGGCCUACCAAGGCGGCGACGGGUAGCCGGCCUGAGAGGGUGUACGGCCACAUUGGGACUGAGACACGGCCCAGACUCCUACGGGAGGCAGCAGUGGGGAAUAUUGCACAAUGGGCGCAAGCCUGAUGCAGCGACGCCGCGUGGGGGAUGACGGCCUUCGGGUUGUAAACCCCUUUCGGCAGGGACGAAGCUUUUGUGACGGUACCUGCAUAAGAAGCACCGGCUAACUACGUG